rnacentral:rRNA from 1 species
UACGUAGGGUCCGAGCGUUGUCCGGAAUUAUUGGGCGUAAAGAGCUCGUAGGCGGUUCGGUUAGUCGGGUGUGAAAACUUUGGGCUCAACCCAAAGCGUGCACUCGAUACUGCCGUGACUAGAGUUCGGUAGGGGAGUGGGGAAUUCCUAGUGUAGCGGUGAAAUGCGCAGAUAUUAGGAGGAACACCGGUGGCGAAGGCGCCACUCUGGGCCGAAACUGACGCUGAGGAGCGAAAGCGUGGGUAGCAAACAGG